UCACUCCAAUUAAACUUUAGGCUCCAGUCAGACCUUCAGCCAAAUGGAAAAAAAAACUAGGGGAUAAGGGAGGUAGCUGGAGCAAGAAAAUGUUAUUAGUUGAAACCUUAUGGGACCUUCCUCCCUUAGUGAGUCUGUUGGCUAAAGGUUCUCUGGCUUCGUGAAUUAGAAUUGGAUACUGUUUCCAAGUUAGCAAAACCAACUCUACCCCAGCACCCCACGAGGAAGAAUGUGGAAGGAUCUCCCAUUGGCCGGUUGGGGCAAAAGCCUGAGGCAAUCUUUCAUCCCCUUUUGCCAAGGCGAGACUUUCCCAGUGACGGUGAUGUAGUUGGCCACUCUGUCUAGGGGAGUGUUGAGACUAUGGGUGGACUCGGGUGUAGACCUCUGAAGCUGAGAUCACACGAAAACCUGGCCUCCCCGCCAUGUAGCUGUUGGAGAGUAGAAAAAUAGAGCACGCCUGAUGUUUCUAAAUGAGAAGACUUUCAAUAGUAAUGAAGAAUCCAUGGCACUCUCCUCACCCUCAAACACAUGGCAGUCAUUCACAUACAGGCCCCAAAGCCACUGUUAGUGCUGCAGUAGCUCCUGUGGACAUUGGAAAGCCUGGAGAGGGCGUGGAAGAAAUCAGUUGGCCCCCGGCAGGUUCUCUGGGGUUUUGUGCCCUAAAAACUUUCAAAAGUUAACUCCCCACGUCCCCAUCCUGCUUGGGUUUCUGGACUUUUCUGAGGCACCGGCAGAGGGGUCUCGUUGCUCCCUUGAGUGUAGGGGCAGCCCUUUAACCUGGCUCCCUGAGUCCCUGCUUUUUCUGCCUCUGUUGUCUUCUUCCUCGUCUUCCUCUCUCUCAAUAUCUCCCUCUCUUUGUCCCUCCCCAGUUCCUGACCUGGCCCUCCCGGGGUGCCCUUGGCCAGCCCCGUGCCUCCUCAGGGUGUCCCAGCACCAGCCUGGCACAGAGUGGGGCUCAGUUAGAGUAUGUGGGAUGUUGGUUUCGCCAGGUGAGUGAAUGAAAGGACCCGACCACCACAGCUGAGCCACUAGCUGGGCCAUGCGAAGAGUUCUAGGUGCAAAGGCUGGAGGGUGGAAUUCAUUUUUGAGAGGUGUGUGAGCAGCUUCCGACCCCUGCCCCAUCUGAACGGGGGCCUUGCUGGUCGCGUCCCUGCAUUCACCCGCGCGGCCAUCCCGUCAUCCAACAGUUGAUCCUAACUGAGCACGCCCACGGCCCUGGUCUGGCCUGGGCACCGGCCACCGUAGCCCAUCCCUUGAUGGCCUCUGUGUCCCCAGGAGGGCGGGCCGGGGGGUUGCCCAGGGGCUGGAGCAGUGGACUGUGGCUCCACAGAGGUAGGCCGGAGGGUGUGAGGGCAGAUUCAAGCUAUCCCCAGGGCUCUGCUCUGGUCGGAGCCAGCCCCUUCUCCCUCUCUGCCUUCCCCGCCCCAUUCCUGAUGCUGAACUGUUCUGGACCCCUGGCCCUGAGUCUCUCAGGACCAAAGUGGGCACGGGAACAGCUGUAGUGUGUGCCCCCCGGGCUUUGGCCACAGGUCUCCCUCUCGAGGUGUGGUUGUGACUGCGACCCUUCCCUUGCCGUGAUGCCUUCCUCCCCCGGGGCUUGGUCCAGCUCCUUCACUCUCUAGCAGCUGCUGGGGCCCACCUCCCAUGCCGAGGACCAGCAGGGGAAACCUCCAGGGAGCAUCUGCAGGCUCUGCUUCUGCCCGGCUGCUGGCUUGCUCUCCCUGGUGGCUCUCCAGUGGCCAGCUUCCUCACCCACCCGGCACUCCGCUUUGCUCUGUCUCCUGAGGUGGGCCUGACCAACCUCCCCUUCUCUGCCUCAAUCCCUGGGCUCCAGGGCUCAGCUCCACAGCCCUCUGCCUAGCAGGCUGGUUCUCCCUGCCAAGCCCAUACCUGUGGUCACCUGGCCCUCCUGUGGUCUGAGUACCACUCCCCUGCCCCAGGAGCCACUCCCACUCCAGCUGCCUGUUUCCAGCAGGUUCCCAGUGCCCCCGACAAGCCCCUGCUGGUGUCUCCAUCUCCUGCCAAGCAUCCUCCAGUGCCUCCUCCUGUGGGCCUGGCCUCAGGGCUAUGGACAGACUCCUGUCCCAUCCCAGAGACCCCUCGUGAUCGUGCCCUGGUGGGUGUUGCCCCCGCCUGCCUUUGCCUCCGCCGUGGCCCUGAGAGUCCUGGGCUCUGCCCCGCCCGGUCCCUUGCUCCCCACUCAGUUCUGGGUUUGGGGCUGCCCCUAACCCAGCCCGUUGCUGCUUUGCACCUUUUCCUGUCAUUGGGCAUCCCCCAGUAGUCACCCCACUCCACCGAAAAGCAAACUGCAGGCACGUGGGCCGUGGCCCGGCUGGGUCGGCUGAAGAACUGCGGAUGGAAGCUGCGGAAGAGGCCCUGAUGGGGCCCACCAUCCCGGACCCAAGUCUUCUUCCUGGCGGGCCUCUCGUCUCCUUCCUGGUUUGGGCGGAAGCCAUCACCUGGAUGCCUACGUGGGAAGGGACCUCGAAUGUGGGACCCCAGCCCCUCUCCAGCUCGAAAUCCCUCCACAGCCACGGGGACGCCCUGCACCUAUUCCCACGGGACAGGCUGGACCCAGAGACUCUGGACCCGGGGCCUCCCCUUGAGUAGAGACCCGCCCUCUGACUGAUGGACGCCGCUGACCUGGGGUCAGACCCGUGGGCUGGACCCCUGCCCACCCCGCAGGAACCCUGAGGCCUAGGGGAGCUGUUGAGCCUUCGGUGUCUGCAUGUGGGAAGUGGGCUCCUUCACCUACCUCACAGGGCUGUUGUGAGGGGCGCUGUGAUGCGGUUCCAAAGCACAGGGCUUGGCGCACCCCACUGUGCUCUCAAUAAAUGUGUUUCCUGUCUUAAC
rnacentral:lncRNA from 1 species